rnacentral:lncRNA from 1 species
UUUUUUUUUUUUUUUUUGCUUUUAAGGGCCGCACUUGCAGCAUAUGGAGGUUCCCAGGGGUCUAAUCAGAGCUACAGCCACCGGCCUACGCCAGAGCCACAGCAACGCGGGAUCCGAGCCACGUCUGCAACCUACACCACAGCUCGUGGCAACGCCAGAUCCUUAACCCACUGAGCAAGGCCAGGGAUCAAACCUGCAACCUCAAGGUUCCUAGUCGGAUUUGUUUCCACUGCGCCACAAUGGGAACUCCACAAAGAUGAUUUUCAUUUUGUAUAUAUGGCUAGGAGGAGCAGAAAGGAUAAAGAAGAUUAGGAAGAAGGGAAAAGGAGGAGGAAGAGAUAGGUGGAAGGAAGAGGAGCAGAGAGGAGGGAAGAAGAUGAGGAAGGAGGAGGAGAGAGGAGGAGAAAGGAGGAGCAGAAAAAUUUUAUUAAUCAUUAGGGAGCAGUAUAUUAUAUCCUAUCCAUUCCAUGGAAUUUUCACAGUUUUAAAAUACAGCUAUGAUGACUGUCAAUUUGCCAAAAGGUUUAAAACAUAAUAUGCAGCAUAAAAAGCAGACCAGUUACAUGCAUACAAUGCUUAUAACUAUGUAAAAAGAUAUAUGCUUGUGAGCAUUACUUGGAGGAUAACAUGCAAAAAAAAUUGUUUUAGAUCAUGGGAUUAAGAGUGGAAAGUUAUUCUUUUUUUCCUUUUCCAAAAUGCUUUACUGCUGUUAUAUUGUUUUUGCUAUAAAAUAAAGUGAGGAAAUGGAUCAUUAUAAUUAAUAAACAUGGCUGUGAACCGAAGAUUUAUCUGAGAAUGAUGUUUCAGCUAAAAAAAUUAAUCCUUCAUCAUUCGUUAUUUUAAGCAUGGAUCUUCCCACCCCCGUAUACGAUUUAGUGGCAAGGUAAGGGAGCAUAAGGAAAAGAAAAACAGCCAUAAAAUAUGGGCAGACUCAACUGAGGAAAAGAAGCUGCCAAAAGAGGCUUAAGUGUGCAUCUUAAGAGUACCAGACUGUGAAGCUGGGAAAACAGCAUCCGCUUCUAAGUCUCCCAUGAAAAUGCAAUCAGAAUUGGAAGAUAAGGUGUGUGGAAUAUAAACUAAAAUACAUAAGCAUCUUCCUUAAAGUGGUAGACUUUUCUUUUUGUGUGCCAUUUUUCAAUGAAUGGAUCCCCCAAAUGAUUAAAACCUAAAAUUAGCAUUGUCUAUUUUUCAGCUAACUCCUGCACAGAUUAGGAAUGCAGCAUAGGCUGGAAUUUUGCACCUAGGGCAGAAGGUCUAUUCUUGCCCAAAUACUAUGCAUAGGCUACACUUGAAAAAGGCUUUAUUUAAUGGCCCUUUCUUUUCUGGCUAUUACUAUUCUUAGCAUAAUUCCUCUGGGUUCACUGGGGAUAAGCGCCUCUAGAAGGAAAAAAAAAAAAAAAAAAAAAAGGCUGAGACUAGAGGCAAGUGAUUUUUCACCUGGAAUACACUACAAGGAUAGAGAGAGUAGGGUAAUUAUCUUUAGCAAUGAAAUUCUCUUUUGAUAAAGGUGUGGGGGAGGGGCAAUGUGAAGGAAUAAAUAGGUCAGUUCAUUUAUUUCAGCUUCCCUAAGUCAGCAGCCCUUUGACUGUUCUAACACAGGAAUGGGAGCCCUGACAACUCAUGGGUCAGCAGAGCAUAUGUUGUUCAAAUAAAAUCUAUCAAUGCAUUGAGAUAUGGCUAGUCUUCAAAAACCUGUCAUUCCUACAAAAGUGUAACCAGCUCAGCUCCCACCCCUUGGCUGCACUACAUCUCAUUUUAUAUAUAUNUCUGCCGGCAUAUGGAGGUUCCAGGGCUAGGGGUCGAAUUGGAGCUAUAGCUGCUGACCUACACCACAACCACAGCAAUGCGGGAUUUGAGCCAUGGCUUUGACCCACACCACAGCUCACGGCAACGCUGGAUCCUUAACCCACUGAGCAAGGCCAGGGAUCAAACCUGUGCCCUCAUGGAUACUAGUCAGAUUCGUCUCCACUGAGCCACAGUGGGAACUCCUGCACUACAUCUCAGUAUCUGCAUUUCACUGACCACUUUUCUUCAGAGCUGGUAUUUGGAACCUGUAAUCCUUUAUAAAAUUGCUCAUCUCCUUGAGCCACAAAUAUUUUUCAAGCACCAGCUGAAAUUAGGGACUAGAGACUAUUAAAAUUGCAAGCUUCCUACUGAGCUACAGCCACUGGUCUAGACUGUAACAGUGUCAGAAUGGGGUCAGGGAGGCCUUUGCACCUGUUCCCUCAUUGCCUGUUGCAUCCAGAUCCCUAAUAUACACACUCUCUUCUCCUCCCUUCCUCUAUCUCCAUUCCCCAACACCAAACACACUCAAACAUACUCUCCUGUGAUCUUACGCUUCUGAGAAAAGCCAUUCCUUCCUUCAAAAUUAUUUGGGAACCCCUAAGACAGAAUAAAAACUACUACAGAGAAACUAUAGACAGAUACUUCCAUGGAUCAAGAGAAGAUAAUAUAUUCAUUGGUAGAUUCAAUGAAAUCCUAAAGAUUAUUGCCAACUGAAAUUCCAAGCAAUUUGGAAUGGGGCCCUUUGAAUAUGAAUUUAUUUAACAGUGAAUUGUGAAGUUGGCAGAAGGGUGAGAGGGCAGGAGCUGAGUUAUAUUAAAUGCACACCUACACCCUCUCAGACAAUCAAACAGGCUGAAGGAGAAUUAAGAUAGUCAUAGAAAAUACAAGAAUAAAAAGUAAGGAACAACAAGUAUUGAAAUGACAACUUAUUCAAGUCAUAGGUAGGAAGUUAUGUGCUCAGAUAACAAACCAAAAAGAGAAAGUAAAGAGAUCUAUUAGAAAGUUAGCCUUCUAUCUCAUAUUUCAACGAAGAAAAAAAAAAGGCCUCUGUAUAGGAGUUCUAUACUCAACGACCCAUGAAUUAAUAUUUUUCACUCUGAGGUGGUUACAGAGAUUCUUUGUUUUGCAGAGUAUUAUGGCACAGUCAAAUGCACAUGGUCUUAGAAUGAAAUCCAUGUUCUUAUUAAUAAAGUGGUUUUCAACCAUGCUGCAUAUUAGAAAUCACCCAGGAGGUUUUCCAACUCUGCCUUCCUGGGCCCCACCCCCAGGUGUUCCAAUUCAUCAGGAGGGGAGUGAAGAGCUAGGUACUUUUUUAUACCCCCUGCGUGAUCCUAACGAACAAGAUGUUAAGAGCAGAUUUCUCAAAGCGUGCUCCCUGUCCCAACAACAUCAGCAUCACCUAGGAACUUCUUAGAAAUGCAAAUUCUGUAGCCCCACUCCAGACUCAAUGAUUCAGAAAAUCUGAGGGUGGAAGCCAGUAAACUUUUACCAAGUCCUCCCAGGGGUUCUCAUGCAUGCUAAAGUUGGAGAAUGGCUGCCACAGAAAAAUGGUUCUCAAACUUUGGUUUGUAUAAGGAUAACUUGGAGAGAUAAAAUGCAAAUCUGAUUCAGUAAUUUCGAGGUGAGGCCUGAGAUUCAGCAUUCCCAACAUGUUAUCAGUUAUUAAAAUUAUGAGUAGCAAGGUCAUAUAAAUAGACUGUACCACUUUGAUGAAAAAUGGGCAGCAAACUUCAUAUAAACGCAGAUUUCCUGGUCCAAAAAUUCUGGAGUUAGCAUAUGGGAAGUAAGACCCAGAAUUUUAACAAUGCGCAUUUUAACAAGAAGCUGAGGUAAUAUUCUCAGUCUCCUGCCAUCAAUUAUCACUUUCUUUGAUUAAAUGUAUUAAGUACAAUCCUCACUGGUUGCCCAUCC